rnacentral:rRNA from 1 species
UACGAAGGGGGCGAGCGUUGUUCGGAAUUACUGGGCGUAAAGGGCGCGCAGGCGGCUCUGAAAGUCAGAUGUGAAAGCCCCGGGCUUAACCUGGGAAUUGCAUUUGAUACUCUGGAGCUUGAGUACGGGAGAGGAUAGUGGAAUUCCCAGUGUAGAGGUGAAAUUCGUAGAUAUUGGGAAGAACACCGGUGGCGAAGGCGGCUAUCUGGACCGUAACUGAUGCUGAGGCGCGAAAGCGUGGGGAGCAAACAGG